rnacentral:lncRNA from 1 species
GUCCAGGUGCCACAGAAGCUCCCAUGAGUUCUGGUGGGUUGGGCUGGAAUCCAGGGUUGACCCAGCCAUCCCUCUAGAGAGUUCUGAAUGUGGGAGGGAGGCCACCCUCUGACUUCCUGGUCAGCUUUAUCGUUCUUUUUCUGGAUAGAUUCAGCAUAUCCCUUUGGUGUUUUCAUUUUCAAUGAAAUUUCCUGGGGCAGCUUCACCAUCUUCACCUGUUGCACAGCUAGGUGGGUUGAAGGAUGAAGUUUGGGGGUUUCGGGUUAAGCUGUUUCUGGGCACACAAAACAGGCAAAACAGAGCAGCCUCCUGAAUGCCCGUGUCCCAGAUGGAGACCCCAGGGGCAAGAGUCCUUUCUCCUGCUCUCCUUCCCAGAAAAGGAUCAGAAAUCCAGGCUUCUUCUGGGGCCCAGAUUUUGCCACCAGAAGUGUUCCUGCAGGCCACCUAAGGAUGGAAUGCAAAAUUCCGUGAAACUCAACGUCUAAACCCCUGAGAGAUGCAAUCGGAAGUCAUUUCAGGAGGUGGCAACCCCAGGGGUCCGGCCUCCCGGAACAGGCCAGAAAUGGUGCAGAGAGGAAAAGAGUGAGAUGGGGGCCCUGCAUGUGGAUCACCGUUUGUGGACAGUUGAGGGCCGAUGGCUAGAAAGGCAUGUGGGGAGUGAGAGCAUUAGGUUUUCAACAUUUUUUUUCCAACAAGCUUUGUGCUGCUUGACGCUGCCAGCAACAGUUGAAGUCCCUUUUUUGAUGGGCCUGAACUUGGCAAACACUAGAGUCAGAGUGACUUCCUGGACUUCAGGGGUGCGGGGAGCUUCCCAGAAGCUUCUGUGAAUCUGUUGUCAUACCAGUAAUCUGCAAAUCACCUUGAGGAACUGUCCGUGUGGCCUGUAACUGACUUUAUUCCCAAAGAUGGAGCCGUUUAGCAAUCUCCUUGUUCGAGCAUAGCCUGGGAAGACGAUCUUACAUCAGCCAGCAGAACCAGACGAGCGAUGGUCCGCCCACCCAGACCAGGUCCUGACCCUUCUUUCUCAGCACCACGCCCUCCUGGCUGGGGGAGCAACGGGGCUGUGAGUGGGAAUAAGUCAGUCAGUCAACUGUCCCCUGGGCCCCCAUUGUUCCAAAAACGUUUGGGGACAAGAGAAGCCAGAAGAACAUGGGUCUCCUGCCCAGCAGCUCUUGCAACCCACUCCAGUUAGCCUUUGCCUGUUUGGAAAAGAAUGUAUCAAUCCUCACAUGAGUCCCUUGUGUUUGCAGUGACAAAUGGGUCACAGUGCUGGUGGCAUAUUGCUCCUGUCACAGCCCUGCCCAGGGGUAGGACGAAGCCACCUCCCCAGUGGAUGUCCUGUUGACUGUAAUAUACUUCUGUUGCCAAAUAAUGGUACUGUUUAAUUUUCCGUAAAAGGGAGACUAUAUUGUCUGAUAUGUGAUGUCAAUGGAGCUCUAAAAAUUACUAAACACUAUUAUAAAUUGUAGAAUUAUGUCUUUGUCUAAGGUUUGAUGAAGCAGGGCCAAAACAUUAGGCUUAUUUUUCUGUUUGAAAGAAGCUGAGAUCAGUUUUGCCGUUCGAGUGUUCCUUUGGCACCUUAUUAUGUAGGAAAUGUUCAAUUUUACCGAUUCACAUGACGGUAACUGAGUUUUGUUUUUGUUUUUGUUUUCGUUUUUCUUUAAACCAGUAGUGGCAUCAGUACAGAUUGUUACUCCUGUGUAUCUUGAACCUGAACAGAACAAUCUCUUCAAAACCACUCUUCGGUCAUUUCGACCUGUACGGUUUAAAGUCACAUCGUUCAUGAAUAAAAUGAGAAAAGCCGACCCUGUGACAGUGGAUUAUUUUGGGUUCUCUCUGCCCCACCUCCUCUCUGCGCAGACAGGAAACCCGUGGUCCUGUGAAUGGCAUCCCCAUCUGUGUGUUUCCUUCUCCCACAGAUAAGGCAGUAGCUGUGGAAGGAAAAUUAUGCAAAAACAAACUUAAAAAAUCAACCAAACCAACAACCCUAUCAGCUCUCCCGUGCCUUCUUCAGACAGAUGUCAGCACCGAGCGGAAGUCGAUCUCCCUGUGCCAGGCACCAUUUCUGAAAAUGUGAGAAGGAAGCUUGAUGAGUUUGAUUCCGAAGGAUUUGGGCAGUAUUACAGCAAGAGGGGAAGCCGA